UUCUGAAGUGUAUGCGACAGGGUUUGAGGGGUUAAUUUCACUCUUUUGACUCUUUUUCUACUCAAAUUUUUCGAGCAUUUUAUAGGUGUUAGAGUCUUAAGUCUCGGCAAGUGCAUUUUUCUCUUUUGUUUUUCUCUUUUUUUUUGCUUUUAAGGAACAUACAUACUAUUUUUCUUUUUGUAUGAUCUCUUAUUAUGCACUUGCCUUCUCUUUCAAGAUUUCCACCCCAAACUUAGUUUUAUAGCACAUCUUGCAAUUCACACAAUCAUACCGAGUAAUGGAAAAAAAUUGAAUGAUUAAAAGUUAACAGGGGGUUUAUGAUGAAUAAAUGC
rnacentral:lncRNA from 1 species